UAUUUCGAAAUUUUAUUCAAAAACGCCCUAUUUCAGAGUUUGGUUGAAUAACGUCUUAUCUCAUAACUCGGUUCAAAAACGCCCUAUCUCAAAGGAAAAUACAUUGAAAAUAAGCUGA